AUGCGGAGCACGGGCCCGGCAACAACGGUGACGCGGGUGGCGCAGAGGGUCGUCGCCCCGUCGGCGCCCACGCCCGGGGGCGAGCUCCCGCUCUCCUGGCUCGACCGCUACCCCACGCAGCGCGCGCUCAUCGAGUCCCUCCACGUCUUCAAGGGCCGCGCCGGCGACGACGCCGCCGAGUCCCCGGUCAAGGCCAUCGAGCGCGCCCUGGCCGCCGCGCUCGUGAGCUACUACCCCAUCGCCGGCCGGCUCGCGCUGUCCGACGGCGGCGAGCUGGUCGUGGACUGUACCGGCGAGGGCGUGUGGUUCGUGGAGGCCACCGCGAGCUGCACCCUGGAGGAGGUGGACUACCUCGAGUACCCGCUCAUGGUGCCCAAGGACGAGCUGCUGCCGCACCCCACCUACCCCGCCUCCGACCCCCUCGCCGAGGACUCCGUAAUCCUUCUAGUCCAGGUCACGCAGUUCGCGUGCGGCGGCUUCGUGGUCGGGUUCCGGUUCAGCCACGCCGUCGCGGACGGCCCCGGCGCGGCGCAGUUCAUGUCGGCGAUGGGCGAGAUCGCGCGCGGGCGCGCCGCGCCGUCGCUGACGCCGGCGUGGGGCCGCGAGGCGAUCCCGAGCCCGCCGGCCGCGUCCGUGGGCCCGCUCCCGGUCCCGACGGAGCUCCGGCUGCAGUAUCUGGCCAUGGACAUCUCCACCGACUACAUCGACCACUUCAAGGCCCGGUUCCUGGAGGAGACGGGGCACCGGUGCAGCGCGUUCGAGGUGCUGAUCGCCAAGGCGUGGCAGGCCCGCACCCGCGCCGCCGGGUUCGCGAGGGGCUCCCCCGUGCACGUGUGCUUCGCCAUGAACGCGCGGCCGGCGCUCCGCCCCCGCGCGCUGCCCGACGGGUUCUACGGCAACUGCUACUACAUCAUGCGCGUGUCGGCGCCGGCGGAGGCCGUGUCGGACGCGCCGCUGAACGACGUGGUCCGGCUGAUCCGCGAGGGCAAGAAGCGGCUCCCGUCCGAGUUCGCGCGGUGGAGCCGCGGGGAGAUGGGCGACGGCGGGGACCCGUACCGCAUCACGUCCGACUACCGGACGCUGCUGGUGUCGGACUGGUCGCGGCUGGGGUUCGCGGAGGUGGACUACGGUUGGGGCGCCCCCGUGCACGUGGUGCCCCUCACCAACCUGGACUACAUCGCGACGUGCAUCCUGGUCCGCCCCUCCGCGCACAAGCCCGGCGCGCGCCUCAUCACCCAGUGCGUCGCCGCCGACGGCGUCGACGCCUUCCACCGGGACAUGAUGCGCCUCGACUGA
rnacentral:rRNA from 1 species